rnacentral:rRNA from 1 species
AAGACGAAGGAUGCGAGCGUUAUCCGGAUUCACUGGGUUUAAAGGGUGCGUAGGCGGGGCUGUAAGUCACAGGUUAAAGACCGGUGCUUAACAUCGGGAGUGCCUGUGAUACUGCGGUUCUUGAGAGAGUCAGAAGUUGCUGGAAUAUGGCAAGUAGAGGUGAAAUUCAUAGAUAUGCCAUAGAACACCGAAAGCGAAGGCAGGCAACUAUGACUGGUCUGACGCUGAGGCACGAAAGCGUGGGGAGCAAACAGGAUUAGAUACCCUGGUAGUCCACGCUGUAAACGAUGAUGACUUGUUGUUUGGGGCGAAAGCUCUGAGUGACAAAGCGAAAGCGAUAAGUCAUCCACCUGGGGAGUACGCCGGCAACGGU